rnacentral:rRNA from 1 species
UACAGAGGAUGCAAGCGUUAUCCGGAAUGAUUGGGCGUAAAGGGUGCGUAGGCGGUAUGACAAGUCUGAUGUGAAAUCUAUGGGCUCAACCCAUAGUCUGCAUCGGAAACUGUCGGGCUGGAGUAUGGGGAGAGGUGAGUGGAAUUUCCGGUGUAGCGGUGAAAUGCGUAGAUAUCGGAAGGAACACCUGUGGCGAAAGCGGCUCACUGGACCAUUACUGACGCUGAUGCACGAAAGCUAGGGGAGCAAACAGG